UUUCCAGACUCCUACGGGAGGCAGCAGUGGGGAAUAUUGGGCAAUGGGCGCAAGCCUGACUCAGCAACGCCGCGUGAAGGAAGAAGGCUUUCGGGUUGUAAACUUCUUUUGACAGGGAAGAGUAGAAGACGGUACCUGUCGAAUAAGCCACGGCUAACUACGUGCCAGCAGCCGCGGUAAUACGUAGGUGGCAAGCGUUGUCCGGAUUUACUGGGUGUAAAGGGAGCGUAGACGGUAUGGCAAGUCUGAUGUGAAAACCCGGGGCUCAACCCCGGGACUGCAUUGGAAACUGUCGGACUAGAGUGUCGGAGAGGCAAGUGGAAUUCCUAGUGUAGCGGUGAAAUGCGUAGAUAUUAGGAGGAACACCAGUGGCGAAGGCGGCUUGCUGGACGAUGACUGACGUUGAGGCUCGAAAGCGUGGGGAGCAAACAGGAUUAGAUACCCGCGUA
rnacentral:rRNA from 1 species